GAAAAAGGGAGAGUGGGAAGGAGGGAGAGAAUUUGGAACUCAGAAUUUAAAAAAUAAUAAUGUUAAAAUUUGUUUUGCAUGUAAUUAGGGAAAAUAAAAUAUUAUUAUUUAAAAAAAAAACACAUCCAGAGUACAAGUAAGUAGAGGUAUUGGGAUAUUUUCAUUUGGCAAAAGAAAGACAGGAGGGAUAUAAUAAAUAUCUUCAAGUACUAGAGGCAGAGGGACAAGUCAGAGCAAUAAGUCAUUUUAUGGCAAGCUCUGGGGUAAGCUUAGGGAUAUAAAGACAAAAAGCAAAACAUUCUCUGCCCUUAAAAAGCUCACAUUCUAAUGGAAGGCCUCAAUCUUUUCUCCCCUUGCCCUCUCCAAUCCUGCCCAUAGUUAAACCUUCUGGAAGAUUUGUAUUAUCAGUAUCUGAAUUAUAUGCCCAGAAGAGCAGUGUCUGGCAGCAAAGUCUGCAUCAAAGCUGAAAGUAAACUUGACACACUGAGGAAAUAUAGCUUCAGGACUCUAUUGAGGAAACCAGAAGAAAGCUGUAUUAUAUCUAAAGGGAACUUUGUGAAGAUUCUACAAAUGGGGAACAAAGAAAGGAUUCCCAAUAAUUAUGAGAUUACACCUUUGCUACAUGAGUUAGUCUCUCCAAGUCUUUUGGAUCCUGUCUGAAUCCAGUGUGCUAGCUGUCCCUCCAAACUUAGUAUCAUUUGCAGAUUUGAUAAGUAUGUCAUCUAUGCCUUCGCCCAAGUGUGAAUUAAACUUUUAAACCAUCUAGGACCUGGGACAGGUCUGUGACCAGUCCCCUAGAAACCUCCUCCUGAGCUUUAAUAGGUCUGACUGUUUAUCCACUUUCAAAUUGACCAGUCAUAUUAUUGCUUAGCUCACAUUUGCCUCUCUGGUCCUAAAGAAUGCCAUGAAAAUGACUAAAAGAAAUAUGUUUUGUGUGACUGCACAUGUAUUGCUAUAUCAAAUUACUUGCCUUCUCAGUAAUGGUGGAAGGCAUCAAGGAGGGAGAACAUUUGGAACUCAAAACAAAUGUUAAACCAUUUUUACAUGUAAUUGAAAAAACAAAAUAUGUCUUUUAAAUGGGAAAAAAAGAAUGUUAUGGAAGGCUAUUGCUAAAAUGUAGGUAAACUCUAUCUCCAGCAUUACUCUUUUCUAUCAGACUAGUCCUGACCAAAAAAAAAAGAAAGAAGAAAAGAAAAUGGGGUUAGUCUCACAUGACUUAUUCUACAUGAAGCCAUUCUGAUUCUUUGUGAUUGUUGGGUUGAGGCAUCCACCUAGACUAAAAACUAGAUCCAAAAACCUUUAACAGGGCUAUCAUUUAGUCAACAGUGUCCACACAAAUAAAAUGAAAGACUUUAUCA
rnacentral:lncRNA from 1 species